UUUCUUAUUUUUCUACUAUGUGCAUCCCAAAGAUGGAUUGAGAUUUGAUUAACACAUAUCAACAUAGCUUGUAGUCUCUUGUCUUCUCCUUUAAGGGUUAAUUUUGCUGUACAGACUCUUACUUGGUAGUAUAACUGGCGAAGUAAAAACUUCUCUCUGUUUAUCUUAGAAGAGGUCCUUUGAAGAACUGCAUGAGGAUCAUGCUCAUCUGUGUCAACUUUUAUCUAUCCGGGUGGCUCUUUCAUCUUCCUAUCUUCCUUUGUGGAGCAUUCAGUUCUGAACAUUCCUCAUAAAGGAAGCAAAUGCCUCCUGCUUUCAGUAUGACUCUGCAUUAACUUGCUUGUUUUACUUCUUAUAGAGGCAAUUACUUCAGAUUUAUUUGUUACUCUUUAAUUCAUAACUGUAAAUUUUGUGUCAUGGGUACAUUAAUAGCAACAUUAUAGCAUGUUUUGAUACUGUCCUGAAAGUGUGCAAUAAGACAGGUAUGUAUUUGUAAUAAAAAAAAUGGAUUUGAUUUUCAGAGUCAGAUAUGAUGGGAUUCAUGAUAUCCAGUAAAAACCUAGCUUGUUUUCAAUGUGUGAAACAGACUUAUGGAGUUGUUUCCUACUUGUUUGUCUGAAAUUCUCAUUGGAUUCUGGAGGGAAUAUCUUCAGGAUAUUAUACUACACAUAGACUAGAUUUAAAGCUUAAAGGGAUGCCUUAAUUAGUUUUAAGCUCCCACAUGACUUUAUUGCAGGAUUACAGGUCUGAGUGCUCCUGUAUUUUUUUGAUAACUGUUAUUUACAUCAGCAUGGUGCUCACACAGAACCACAGGCACAGCUUAAAAGACCCAGAUAAGAAGUUGCCAGGAACUCCUCCUCCAGCAUAUGCCCUCUUUUUAUACCCAGUAAUCUUUCACCAGCUUUUUACACAUAUAUCUUUUGCACAUUUCUUCCCUCACACUGAUAACUCUCUCCCCCUGACAACUUUCAUGUUCCCUCCUCCUUCAUUUUUCUCUUUUAAGAUAUUUCUUUUUUCCUGUCCCUCUCCCUCAACCCCCCCCCGUUGUCUGCUCAGCUCAGGAGGGAGAUCCAAGUUGCCUCCUCACCUGGUUCCUUUUUGUCAUCUGUUUUUCCUGUCUCCCCACAAGAAGAAAGGGAUCUGCAGGCUUAGUAAUUGCUGUCCACUGGAACCAGUAAAGCACAGUCCGCUGACAACUGGAGUGAGUAAGUCAGCCUGGAGAGAAAGCAAACACUAGUGGCUGAUAACAGCAUAGAAGCUGUUGCUUUUGUUUACACAAACAUUUUAAAUAAACUGCUGGUCACAGUGGCCAGGGAUCCAUAUCCCCUUUCUGAACCCCAGAUGGGGAAUACAUUCCUUCCUUCCCUAGUACCUAGCAGAUUCUGAACCACAAAUGAUCUUUGGGUGUCUGCAUUUCUGGAUGCCUCAUGUAGGGUGAGUUAAGAAGGAGCUGAUCUUCAGAAGCUAACUGCCAGUCCUGACACACUAGUUUUAGUAGUGCACCUCAAAUUUGAAUUGUAACACAUCACUGAUCACUUUUGCACAUGAAAAAAACCCUGCAGCUUGCUAGCAGUUACUUUAGAUACACAUAAACAGGAAAGGAUCCUAAAUGACCUAUGAGAAGCCACAAGUACAAUUACUUUUUGCUCCCGCUAAGAGAAAAACAGUCACAAGCAAACCUUUCUAGCCUUUUUUAGGUAACUGUUUGUCCUUUGCACGCUAAAGUAAAUUAGCUGUAUAUGUAAUGCAGAUUUCUACAUAUAAAUUUAGUUGUACCCCUGUGUUCUAUC
ensembl:lncRNA